rnacentral:rRNA from 1 species
GUGAGGAAUAUUGGACAAUGGGCGCAAGCCAGAUCCAGCCAUGCCGCGUGCAGGAAGACGCAUCUAUGGUGUGUAAACUGCUUUUGUACGGGAAGAAACACUCCCUCGUGAGGGAGCUUGACGGUACCGUAAGAAUAAGGAUCGGCUAACUCCGUGCCAGCAGCCGCGGUAAUACGGAGGAUCCAAGCGUUAUCCGGAAUCAUUGGGUUUAAAGGGUCCGUAGGCGGUUUAAUAAGUCAGUGGUGAAAGCCCAUCGCUCAACGAUGGAACGGCCAUUGAUACUGUUAGACUUGAAUUACAAGGAAGUAACUAGAAUAUGUAGUGUAGCGGUGAAAUGCUUAGAUAUUACAUGGAAUACCAAUUGCGAAGGCAGGUUACUACUUGUGGAUUGACGCUGAUGGACGAAAGCGUGGGGAGCGAACAGGAUUAGAUACCCCAGUAGUCC